GGUGAGGUGCGAGAGUGGUUGAAUCGGGCGGUCUCGAAAACCGUUGAUGCCGUAAGGUAUCCGUGGGUUCGAAUCCCACCCUCACCGCCA
rnacentral:tRNA from 1 species